UACGUAGGGGGCGAGCGUUGUCCGGAGUUACUGGGCGUAAAGCGCACGCAGGCGGUCUCUUAAGUUUGGAGUGACAGUUGGUGGCUUAACUGCCAAAGUGCUUCGAAAACUGAGAGACUUGAGGGCUUCAGAGGGACACGGAAUUCCGGGUGGAGUGGUGAAAUGCGUAGAGAUCCGGAGGAACACCAAAGGCGAAGGCAGUGUCCUGGGGAGUACCUGACGCUCAGGUGCGAAAGCCAGGGGAGCGAACGGG
rnacentral:rRNA from 1 species